rnacentral:tRNA from 1 species
AGGGGAAUGAAGAUAUCUGAAAAAAGCUGCUAACUAUUUUUCAAAGCGGUUAAAAUCCGUUUAUCCCUU